GUUCGGAAAAGAUAACCGCUGAAAGCAUCUAAGCGGGAAACUUGCCUCAAGAUGAGAUCUCACUGGGAACUUGAUUCCCCUGAAGGGCCGUCGAAGACUACGACGUUGAUAGGCUGGGUGUGUAAGCGUUGUGAGGCGUUGAGCUAACCAGUACUAAUUGCCCGUGAGGCUUGACCAU
rnacentral:rRNA from 1 species